rnacentral:lncRNA from 1 species
UGUAAUAAAUAUUAGAAUAAAAUAAAUUUUCUUAUAUUAUCCAUAACUUUUACUUACUGAUCCUCAUUUUUGUGUUUGCAUGUGAAAUUCGUCCGGGUCCUCAUGGACUCUAUCCUCGCACUUUCCUUUGGGCCACAGAGGCCCAUAUUCCCUUUUAUCGGAGUCAUUCAGAUAUUAAAAUCGACGAACAGGUCCCGAAAUUGAAAGAAAAGCGGAGCAAAUCGGGAGUUGAAAAAGAUUGGGCCAAAAGCCCUACCUUUAUUUAUUCGAAAUUGUAUUUUGUUAUUAUUGGGCCUAAGCCCUUGUCAUUUUAUUUACUAUUACUUGUUAGUUCCUAGGACAGGUGGAGAAAUUGGGCUUAAGGUCCAAAAGAAAGAUAUUCAUUUCAUGUUAGACUAGGACAGGUGCAGGUGACUCAAUGGGCCGAAAGCCCAAAACGAAAGUGGGCCCAAAUAUUGGCCCAGGCGGACAGAAAAACCAGAUUUGGGCCCAAAUCUCUUUUAAUCCUUCUUUGUUGUGUUUGUGUGCUCGUUAAAAUUUUCCACUAACCUUAAGGUCGAAAAUUCAAAUCCCCAGAAAAUAUCAUUUUGAAUUAAUCACUUAACUAAAUCAUUCGUUUCUUACUCGACUUAAAAUAAAUAAAUAAAUAAAUAAGUUUAUGAAAUACUUCACUUAGAUAAUAUUUCAUUAUUUUUUCUAUUAAAAUAGGUCUCAACUAUAAAGUAGUUCACUUUUGCAAUUCAAGUUAAGUCAAUUAGUUUAGCCAAAUAAUUAAUCGUCGGAUAACCACAUUAGUGGACAUUCUAGGUGCUUUUGAAACCUUCCUAGAAUGUUAAUAAGAACCUCGAACCCUUUUUUUAGUUUUCACUAGAUUUCUGUUUUAGUCUUUUGAAAACAACAGUUUUCUUGAUUUUUCUAAAAAAAAAUUAAGUGGCGACUCUUAAAUCAGUCAAGUUAUAUUUUUUUUAAUAAAACAAUGGCGGGCACUUCUUCAAUUAUCAUUGGUCAACUUACCAUUGAUCUUCCAGUAAAAUUCUUAUUCCCAUUAUUUGUUAACUGUUUUUUUCAAUUGAUUUUAGUUGAAUUAUGAAUAAGAUUGUUUAUUCUUUGUUUUGAUUAACUCGACUGCUUUUAGUUGAUUCCAAUUGCAUUGUAGGAUAAUCUGGUAAGUCACGCUGCAGUGGUAGUAGGAUUGUGCUUGUUAACCUAGGAUUUUCGAUGGGCUGAAUAUAUCCAUAAAAGAAAUUUUGUUACUCGCAUCACUAAGUGCAGUUUUCUUCUUGUUCUCUCUAGUUGGUCUUUCAUUUCCAUUUGAUUUCAUAGAGUAUGGUGGCCUAUCCCAUUUCUUGAUUGGACUUAUUUAUACUGGAGUGAACCUUUCCUCCAAAUAUGGUGUUUAAUACUUGCCGAUAUUAUCUAAAACCAUUGUUUCAUUAUUUAAAGCGAUGCAUAAUGAGGAUCAUAGCUUCAUAGUUGAAGUCAUGAACUUCAACAAAGUGUAAGCUUAAGAGUUCAGACAUGAUUGGUGAAUUGCAUAAUUUGUAACUUCACUUCUUGCACUUGGUUAGUGCUGAUUCUUUUUUCUAAUACAAUCCGUUAUCAUUAUCUAUAAAAGAAAAAAAACAAGGUGUAAGCUUCAGAAAAUGACAUGCAAAGUGAUCACAACUAGAAGUGAUCAAGAAAUCGAUUAAUACCAGCAUUAUUGUAAUUUGAUGCGAUAAUUAGUUAUUUUAGUAGUUCAUAACUGUUUGAUACUUAUUAAUACUUGAAUUGUGCGCUUCGCUAUAAUGCACUUCAUUUCUCGCUUUUCGCUUCAAGGCCCAUGAUGUUUUUUUUUCCUUUCACUUUUAAAAAUACCAGCAAUUGAGAUGUUCCCUUCUAAAAAAAAAAACACACUGGCAAUUAGGUUGUCAUAAUGAUGGUGUUGCAAUAGUUGAGAUGCGAACAAGAGACCAGCUUUAAAAAAUGAUAGUGUUGGAAGAGUCUUAUUUUCCUAAUUUUUACUCUCACAAUCGUGUGCAGUCAUUUGUCAUUUUCAAGCGGACAAAGAAUCAACAUAGGUGGAUGACCCCAAAAGUUGACACGUGGCUAAAAUACAAAACAAUAUGCCUAUAGCUAAAAGGAGAUUCCCGCAAAAUUUAGUAAGUGGCAGCGGUGGCGCUACCCAUUUCUCCGCACCAAACGAGAAGGAGUAGUAGUAGCAUUUUUAGGAAAGAAAAUAAAUCCUCGACAAUGCGGCUCCGAAGAGAAAAAAUAAAAGGGAUGCCCUAACAUCCAAAAACCUAGGGUUUCAACUGCGGCCGGAGAGUAAUUUCUUUUCUUAAUCGAUUCCUCUCACUCUCUUGGGGUCGUGUAGGACUCCGAUCUCCUUCAUCGGGAAUCGAGCUUCACGCUGCAUCUUAAUCUUCGCCAAUUGGAAUGGCGGGCACUUCUUCAAUUCUCAUUGGUCAACUUACUAUUGAUCUUCCAGUAAAAUUCUUAUUCCCAUUAUUUGUUAACUGUUUUUUUCAAUUGAUUUUAGUUGAAUUAUGAAUAAGAUUGUUUAUUCUUUGUUUUGAUUAACUCGACUGCUUUUAGUUGAUUCCAAUUGCAUUGUAGGAUAAUCUGGUAAGUCACGCUGCAGUGGUAGUAGGAUUGUGCUUGUUAACCUAGGAUUUUCGAUGGGCUGAAUAUAUCCAUAAAAGAAAUUUUGUUACUCGCAUCACUAAGUGCAGUUUUCUUCUUGUUCUCUCUAGUUGGUCUUUCAUUUCCAUUUGAUUUCAUAGAGUAUGGUGGCCUAUCCCAUUUCUUGAUUGGACUUAUUUAUACUGGAGUGAACCUUUCCUCCAAAUAUGGUGUUUAAUACUUGACGAUAUUAUCUAAAACCAUUGUUUCAUUACUUAAAGCAAUGCAUAGUGAGGAUCAUAGCUUCAUAGUUGAAGUCAUGAACUUCAACAAAAUGUAAGCUUAAGAGUUCAGACAUGAUUGGUGAAUUGCAUAAUUUGUAACUUCACUUCUUGCACUUGGUUAGUGCUGAUUCUUUUUUCUAAUACAAUCCGUUAUCAUUAUCUAUAAAAGAAAAUAACAAGGUGUAAGCUUCAGAAAAUGACACGCAAAGUGAUCACAACUAGAAGUGAUCAAGAAAUCGAUUAAUACCAGCAUUAUUGUAAUUUGAUGCGAUAAUUAGUUAUUUUAGUAGUUCAUAACUGUUUGAUACUUAUUAAUACUUGAAUUGUGCGCUUCGCCUAAAAAUAUAAUGCACUUCAUUUCUCGCUUUUCGCUUCAAGGCCCAUGAUGUUUUUUUUUUCUUUUCACUUUUAAAAUUACCAGCAAUUGAGAUGUUACCUUCUCAAAAAAAAAAAACUGCACUGGCAAUUGGGUUGUCAUAAUGAUGGUGUUGCAAUAGUUGAGGUGCGAACAAGAGACCCGCUUUAAAAAAUGAUAGUGUUGGAAGAGUCUUAUUUUCCUAAUUUUUACUCUCACAAUCGAGUCCAGUCCUUUGGUCGUUUUCAGGCGGACAAAGAAUCAACAUAGGUGGAUUACCCCAAAAGUUGACACAUGGCUAAAAUACAAAACAAUAUACCUAUAGCUAGAAGGAGAUUCCCGCAAAAUUUAGUAAGUGGCAGCGGUGGCGCUGCCCAUUUCUCCGCACCAAACGAGAAGGAGUAGUAGUAGCAUUUUUAGGAAAGAAAAUAAAUCCUCGACAAUGCGGCUCCGAAGAGAAAAAAUAAAAGGGAUGCCCUAACAUCCAAAAACCUAGGGUUUCAACUGCGGCCGGAGAGUAAUUUCUUUUCUUAAUCGAUUCCUCUCACUCUCUUGGGGUCGUGUAGGACUCCGAUCUCCUUCAUCGGGGAAUCGAGCUUCACGCUGCAUCUUAAUCUUCGCCAAUUGGAAUGGCGAUAGUAUAUAGAUUUUAUAAUAUGGUAGUAUAAUAAAUGUUAGAAUAUAGUAGUGUAAUAAAUAUUAGAAUAAAAUAAAUUUUCUUAUAUUAUCCAUAACUUUUACUUACUGAUCCUCAUUUUUGUGUUUGCAUGUGAAAUUCGUCCGGGUCCUCAUGGACUCUAUCCUCGCACUUUCCUUUGGGCCACAGAGGCCCAUAUUCCCUUUUAUCGGAGUCAUUCAGAUAUUAAAAUCGACGAACAGGUCCCGAAAUUGAAAGAAAAGCGGAGCAAAUCGGGAGUUGAAAAAGAUUGGGCCAAAGCCCACCUUUAUUUAUUCAAAAUUGUAUUUUGUUAUUAUUGGGCCUAAGCCCUUGUCAUUUUACUUACUAUUACUUGUUAGUUCCUAGGACAGGUGGAGAAAUUGGGCUUAAGGUCCAAAAGAAAGAUAUUCAUUUCAUGUUAGACUAGGACAGGUGCAGGUGACUCAAUGGGCCGAAAGCCCAAAACGAAAGUGGGCCCAAAUAUUGGCCCAGGCGGAC